rnacentral:rRNA from 1 species
AGAGUUUGAUCCUGGCUCAGGACGAACGCUGGCGGCGUGCUUAACACAUGCAAGUCGAACGGUAAGGCCCUUUCGGGGGUACACGAGUGGCGAACGGGUGAGUAACACGUGAGUAACCUGCCCUUGACUCUGGGAUAACAGCCGGAAACGGUUGCUAAUACCGGAUAUUCAGCUUCUGCCGCAUGGUGGUUGUUGGAAAGCUUUUGUGGUCAAGGAUGGGCUCGCGGUCUAUCAGCUUGUUGGUGGGGUAGUGGCUCACCAAGGCUUCGACGGGUAGCCGGCCUGAGAGGGUGACCGGCCACAUUGGGACUGAGAUACGGCCCAAACUCCCACGGGAGGCAGCAGUGGGGAAUAUUGCACAAUGGACGGAAGUCUGAUGCAGCAACGCCGCGUGCGGGAUGACGGCCUUCGGGUUGUAAACCGCUUUCAUCCAUGACGAAGCGAGAGUGACGGUAGUGGGAGAAGAAGCACCGGCUAACUACGUGCCAGCAGCCGCGGUGAUACGUAGGGUGCGAGCGUUGUCCGGAUUUAUUGGGCGUAAAGAGCUUGUAGGCGGUUUGUUGCGUCGGAAGUGAAAACUCAGGGCUUAACUCUGAGCCUGCUUUCGAUACGGGCAGACUUGAGGAAGGUAGGGGAGAAUGGAAUUCCUGGUGAAGCGGUGGAAUGCGUAGAUAUCAGGAGGAACACCGGUGGCGAAGGCGGUUCUCUGGACCUUUCCUGACGCUGAGAAGCGAAAGCGUGGGGAGCAAACAGGCUUAGAUACCCUGGUAGUCCACGCCGUAAACGGUGGGUACUAGGUGUGGGGGACAUUCCACGUUCUCCGUGCCGUAGCUAACGCAUUAAGUACCCCGCCUGGGGAGUACGGCCGCAAGGCUAAAACUCAAAGGAAUUGACGGGGCCCCGCACAAGCGGCGGAGCAUGCGGAUUAAUUCGAUGCAACGCGAAGAACCUUACCUGGGUUUGACAUAUGCCGGAAACAGUCAGAGAUGGCUGCCCCUUUUUGGUCGGUUUACAGGUGGUGCAUGGCUGUCGUCAGCUCGUGUCGUGAGAUGUUGGGUCAAGUCCCGCAACGAGCGCAACCCUUAUCCUAUGUUGCCAGCACGUAAUGGUGGGGACUCGUAGGAGACUGCCGGGGUCAACUCGGAGGAAGGUGGGGACGACGUCAAGUCAUCAUGCCCCUUAUGGCCUGGGCUACACACGUACUACAAUGGCGUCUACAAAGAGCGGCAAGCCUGUGAAGGCAAGCGAAUCUCAUAAAGGACGUCUCAGUUCGGAUUGAAGUCUGCAACCCGACUUCAUGAAGCUGGAAUCGCUAGUAAUCGCGAAUCAGCAUGUCGCGGUGAAUACGUUCUCGGGCCUUGUACACACCGCCCGUCAAACCAUGGGAGUUGGUAAUGCCCGAAGCCGGUGGCAUAACCUUUCGAGGAGUGAGCCGUCGAAGGCAGGACCGAUGACUGGGGUUAAGUCGUAACAAGGUAACCGUA